GAUGAACGCUGGCGGCGUGCCUAAUACAUGCAAGUCGAGCGAACGGACGAGAAGCUUGCUUCUCUGAUGUUAGCGGCGGACGGGUAAGUAACACGUGGAUAACCUACCUAUAAGACUGGGAUAACUUCGGGAAACCGUAGCUAAUACCGGAUAAUAUUUUGAACCGCAUGGUUCAAAAGUGAAAGACGGUCUUGCUGUCACUUAUAGAUGGAUCCGCGCUGCAUUAGCUAGUUGGUAAGGUAACGGCUUACCAAGGCAACGAUGCAUAGCCGACCUGAGGGGGUGAUCGGCCACACUGGAACUGAGACACGGUCCAGACUCCUACGGGAGGCAGCAGUAGGGAAUCUUCCGCAAUGGGCGAAAGCCUGACGGAGCAACGCCGCGUGAGUGAUGAAGGUCUUCGGAUCGUAAAACUCUGUUAUUAGGGAAGAACAUAUGUGUAAGUAACUGUGCACAUCUUGACGGUACCUAAUCAGAAAGCCACGGCUAACUACGUG
rnacentral:rRNA from 1 species